UACGGAGGGGGCGAGCGUUAUUCGGAAUUAUUGGGCGUAAAGGGCGCGUAGGCGGCUUGGCAAGUCAAAGGUGAAAUCCCUCGGCUCAACUGAGGAACUGCCUUUGAAACUGCCUGGCUUGAGUCCGGGAGGGGGUAGCGGAAUUCCCAGUGUAGCGGUGAAAUGCGUAGAUAUUGGGAGGAACACCAGUGGCGAAGGCGGCUACCUGGACCGGUACUGACGCUGAUGCGCGAAAGCGUGGGUAGCAAACAGG
rnacentral:rRNA from 1 species